rnacentral:rRNA from 1 species
UACGAAGGGUGCAAGCGUUACUCGGAAUUACUGGGCGUAAAGCGUGCGUAGGUGGUUUGUUAAGUCUGAUGUGAAAGCCCUGGGCUCAACCUGGGAAUUGCAUUGGAUACUGGCAGGCUAGAGUGCGGUAGAGGGUAGUGGAAUUCCCGGUGUAGCAGCGAAAUGCGUAGAGAUCGGGAGGAACACCAGUGGCGAAGGCGACUACCUGGACCAGCACUGACACUGAGGCACGAAAGCGUGGGGAGCAAACAGG